AACGAACGCUGGCGGCAGGCUUAACACAUGCAAGUCGAACGCCCCGCAAGGGGAGUGGCAGACGGGUGAGUAACGCGUGGGAACCUUCCCUAUAGUACGGAAUAUACCAGGGAAACUUGGAGCAAUACCGUAUACGCCCUUCGGGGGAAAGAUUUAUCGCUAUAGGAUGGGCCCGCGUAGGAUUAGCUAGUUGGUGAGGUAAUGGCUCACCAAGGCGACGAUCCUUAGCUGGUUUGAGAGAAUGACCAGCCACACUGGGACUGAGACACGGCCCAGACUCCUACGGGAGGCAGCAGUGGGGAAUAUUGGACAAUGGGCGCAAGCCUGAUCCAGCCAUGCCGCGUGAGUGAUGAAGGCCUUAGGGUUGUAAAGCUCUUUUAGCAGGGAAGAUAAUGACUGUACCUGCAGAAUAAGCUUCGGCUAACUUCGUGCCAGCAGCCGCCGUAA
rnacentral:rRNA from 1 species